CCUGCAGAGAAAUCAGAGACACUGGUCUUUGAGAGCCUUGCUGUCCCCUUCCCCGUGUCCUGGGAUCCCAUCACCGUGCUAGGAAGUGACAAGGCCCGGUGAAUAUAGAAUAUAAGGACAGAAGCAGAGUCCUGAAGAACAUAAGUGACUUAUUUAGGUCCUAUAAAUAAGGCACGGACUUUGGAGUCAGGGGUUCUAGGUUCCAGGUUCGGGUCCUGACUCUGUAACCUUGGGCAGCUCACUCAACCUCUUUGAUUCUCAAAGAUGGCGUCCCUUUUGGGAGGGCAGGGCCUCUGAAGCGUCCCCAUCUGGACCGGGGAGACAAGCCAGGGCCCCCCGAUGUGGGAAUUUGGACUCUGCCAGCUUGAGUGAAAUCGACACUCCAAGAAGAUGAGCCAUAUUUAUCUUGGGGCCACUGACUGCAUUGUCCCAACUGCUGCUUUCCAAAUGCAUCUCAGUUUGAGAAUCACAAUAAACACUGGAUGGAUGGAUUGUUGGCUGGCUGGCUGGCUGGCUGGACAGAUGGACAGAUGGAUGUUAGAAUCAGAAAGGCCUGGCUUUGAAUCUUUGCUUUGCAAUCAUUAGAGUUAGGCCCGUCGCGUAACUUCAACGAGAUUGUUCUUCUGUUAAUAAAAUGAAACUAAUAGCACCUACCUCAUUCUCUUGACAACUCAAGUGCCUUUUGAAACAGGGGCUGGGCACAUAAUAAACAUUCAACAAAUUGA